ensembl:lncRNA
CAAUAAAAAAACCGAAUUAAAAUAUAUACAGUAAAUAAUUUAGAACAUAUAAAAGACAUUUAUGUUUGUACUAAAACUAUUUUUUAUUUAAAUAGUUUUCAAGAUUAUCUUGUUGCAGGUUGUCUAGACAACACUAUUUAUGUUAUAAAUAUGUUUGUUACAAAACCGAAGGAAAUAAAUGUUUUAUCCACAAUUAAAUAUUGCAAAUUAUUAUCAUGCGUUGACGUAUAUGGCAAUAUUUUAUCCUUAGGAGGAGGGUAAAAUUUUGAAAAAAAAUAAAAAAAAAAAAAAAAAAUAACUAUAACAAUUAUAUAACAUUACGAAUUUGUUAUAUAUAUUUGUACUCUACAUUCUUUUUUUUUUUUUUUUUUUAUUUGCAUUAAUUCAAAAUUUAUUUUACUGUAACUCCAUUUAUUGUACUACUACUAUACAUAUACAUAUUUAGUUAUGAUUUUAUAUAAUUUUGUUAUUUAUAUUUUUAUUAAAUAGAAACGGAAAUUGGUUUAUUUGUUUACAAGAUGAGAAAACAAAUAUAAAUUCCAAAAAAAAAGAUGAAAGUUUUUUCAACUGUUAUAAGGAUACAAAAUUUUCUUACCAAAGCCAUAAUAUAUCUAGUUUAGUUAAAAAAUUUAAAUUAAAUGAAGCUUUGAUGUCAUUAAUUAAGCAAGACCCUCGCGCUACAGUUUCCUUACUAGAAUAUUACUCCAAAAAACCGUAUGUUACGUAUAGCAUGUAAAACACAUUCCAUAGAAGAUGUAGUGCGCGUCAUUCAAUAUAUAAGAAAAUAUUUUACAACAGAUGCUAUAAUAUCAGAGUUUUUCACAGAAUAUUUAGAUGUUAACCAAUGGAUAAACUCUACAACGAAUGAGAAGUUGUCAUAUGAAUUGUCACUGUUGCUUCGGGUUAUUCAAAACGAGAUGAACGUUAUUAACAAAUUUAAGGAAUUAAAAACUUUUACCGACGAUUUAUUUAAUAAUAGUCUAUAGUAUAACUUUGGAAUGCUUUAGUAUAUUAAUAUAUAUAUAUAUAUAUAUAUAUAUUAAUAUAUACGUUUUUUUGUGUUUGUGAACCGAAUUUUGUUUUUAUUAUUUGAUACCCUAGUUGUAUUUUUCAAUUAGUAUAAUUUACCAUUUUAAUUUAUCCGUCAAUGGAUUUUUUUUUUUUUUUUUUCUCUUUACUGAAUACUUGAAAUUAAUUUUUUAAAGGAUGUUUCUUAUUUCAAUUAUUUGAUUUGUUUGUGUUUAUAAAUCACUAAAAUUUGUAGAAUCUACUUAUUAAAUUCUAUUUAAUUUUUACAAAAACAAAAAAAACAAGUAACAUAAAAAACGUUUUAAAUAAUAUUAUAUUAUACAUACAAGUAUAGGUGGUAUACCUUUAUUUUACUUCCGAAACGCACACACAUAUAUAUAUAUAUAUAUAUAUAUAUAUAUGUGUGUGUUCAUGUCAAAAAUAAUAUUUUAUUAUUCACUCCCAUCAUAAAAGUGAUACUUGUUUUAAAAAAAAAAAAAAAAAAAUUUUUAUUUAUUUAAAAAAAAAACAAAUAAACAUGUAUGUUUGAAUUUGGAGAAAAAAAAA